AUUGAACGCUGGCGGCAUGCUUUACACAUGCAAGUCGAACGGCAGCACGGACUUCGGUCUGGUGGCGAGUGGCGAACGGGUGAGUAAUACAUCGGAACGUACCCAGUAAUGGGGGAUAACUAUCCGAAAGGAUAGCUAAUACCGCAUACGCCCUACGGGGGAAAGAGGGGGAUCGCAAGACCUCUUGUUAUUGGAGCGGCCGAUGGCUGAUUAGCUAGUUGGUAGGGUAAAGGCCUACCAAGGCAACGAUCAGUAGCGGGUCUUAGAGGACGAUGCGCCACACGGGAACUGAGACACGGUCCAGAAGCCUACGGGAGGCAGGAGUGGGGAAUCUUGGACAAUGGGCGCAAGCCUGAUCCAGAAAUGCCGCGUGCGUGAAGAGGGCCUUCGGGUUGUAAAGCGCUUUUGUCAGGGAGCAAAUCCUUGUGGCUAAUACCCACCGGGGAUGAGAGUACCUGAAGAAUAAGGACCGGCUAACUACGUGCCAGCCGCCGCAGUAACAC
rnacentral:rRNA from 1 species